GCCCCUCGUUGCCCUCCGUUAACCAUGCGUAAGAAGGGCUUUCGGUGUGAGAAACGAUCGGCUGCCAUAUCAAGUACUUAAUUUUAUGUUAUAUAAACAUUUCAUUUUUUCGACUCACAAUUGCUUAUUACGUUGCGGAUCUUCACACCAUCAUUGCAUUUGGCCUUUAUAUUAUUCAUUAAUUACCAUUUCAGAAAAUCGGCAAAUUCAUUAAUGAACAGUCGGGGUUGUCCGUUCUUUUCAAACAAGCAAUGCAAGAAAAGUUUCUUCUCCGCAUGUUGCCUUUCACAUUGUAUACCAAAUUUCAAAUUCAAAUACCAAACACUUGGUUCCACUCUUG